rnacentral:rRNA from 1 species
CCUACGGUCGGCAGCAGUGAGGAAUAUUGGUCAAUGGGCGCGAGCCUGAACCAGCCAAGUAGCGUGAAGGAUGACUGCCCUACGGGUUGUAACCAUCUUUUAUGAAGGAAUAAAGUGAGGCACGUGUGCCUUUUUGUAUGUACUUUAUGAAUAAGGAUCGGCUAACUCCGUGCCAGGAGCCGCGGUGAUACGGAGGAUCCGAGCGUUAUCCGGAUUUAUUGGGUUUAAAGGGAGCGUAAAUGGGUUGUGAAGUCAGUGGUGAAAGUUUGCGGCUCAACCGUAAAAUUGCAAUUGAUACUGGCAGUCUUGAGUACAGUUGAGGUAGGCGGAAUUCGUGGUGUAGCGGUGAAAUGCUUAGAUAUCACGAAGAACUCCGAUUGCGAAGGCAGCUUACUAAACUGCGACUGACAUUGAUGCUCGAAAGUGUGGGUAUCAAACAGGAUUAGAUACCCGAGUAGUC